rnacentral:lncRNA from 1 species
ACCAGGGUUCAGACCUCAACUCGGCAGGAGACCAGGCUGUCUGUGUAUAGCCCAAUGUCCCACACUUUACUUUCUUCCCUUCUCCUCCAUUUCUUCUUCUUCCUCUUCCUCCUGCUCUUCCUCCUCUAAAGUGGGAAUUCCUGAUUUUGUUGGAGAUUCAGUUGUGUCAUGCGGUGCUUUUCUGGAAACUGCCCUGUGAGAAGCUCGUUUCCUGAAGCAGACUCGUGACAGGAUGUUUGCUGAGAACAGACGCGUGGUAUUUUCCUGGAAGUUGCCUAGUGAAGUGACAUGUGAUGUUUUGCUGGAGCUGAUGCUUGAGAGGCAAUGUGAUGUUUGGAAAGAGGAUGAGUCUAACCCAACAGACUGUGGACAGUGUUCUUGUAUUGCUUCUCUUUGGAACUCUGCGGGUCAUUGUUGGGCUUCACUGGUGCUGGUCUCCCGCUGAUGAAAUUCUUGCAUUGGUUCGCCUUGCUUUUUUAGCUGAUCUUCACUUGUCAUGACUUCGUAGAGAGACAUGCACCAAAGAACUUCUGGUGGUAUUCCAGCUGCUUCUUGCUGCUUCCACAGACUGGUUCCAAUCGGCAGAUCCCUGCUGCUUCUUCUGGAUAAAGCCACUGCUACUGAGUCGUGUUUGGUGUUUUGCUAGUGGACUGAACUGCUGACAACGAUGAUUGGAAUCACCCCAAAGAACAAUUUCUAAACAGGUCCAUAACCCCUAUUUUCUAGUAACCUUUCUUUCCCCCUACUUCUGGUGGGUGGUGGGCUAGAAGAGAGGUAGACGUGUUAACCAUAAUUACAGUAGGUUUUGAAAAAUCUAAGACUACACUCCCUCCUUCUUCUAGAUGAAAAAAAAAAAAGCCAAAGACCAAACAGCAGUGUAACAUAGUUUCUUGGAGACCCUCUGCCCCAGCGUGUUUGAAAGGAUAAUGCCUAAGGUACUAAGUGUACUCUCUGCUCGAAUAGCUAAAAAGAAUGAUUUUCAUUAAAAAAUUUCCAGGAAAGCCAGGCGUGGUGGCACAUGCCUUUAAUCCCAGCACUAGGGAGGCAGAGGCAGGCGGAUUUCUGAGUUCGAGGCCAGCCUGGUCUACAGAGUGAGUUCCAGGACAGCCAGGGCUACACAGAGAAACCCUGUCUCGAAAAAAAAAAAAUUCCAGGAAAAAAGUAGUUCAAAAUGAAACGAGAAACUAGAGAAGCACAGCAGUCCAAUCUCCAUGUCUCAAAGCCAGGAGAACUUGAGAACAAGUGACCAACAGGGCUUUGCUCUUAGCGGUCAUAACCUCUCUUACAGAAGUGGAGACAUUACUCAGAAGGGAAGGAGCUGAGUGGGGUAGGGAGGGAUGUGGGGGUAGAUAAACUUAAAGGAUCCAACCCCUUUUUUCUUUUCCGUGGAGCAAACCUCCUUCAGGACCUCCUUGUGUUUGUUAAAGGUCCUGGACAAAUGUCUGCACUACCAAAAUGCACAUGAAGUUCUGAAAAGGCGUGUUCUUUGGGAAUCCAUCAGGGAAAAGCCCACAUCUUAUAGAUGAGAAAGUGAACGGAGAGCUAAGCUUUUUCUGAACCUAGACAUCCUGACUCCUAGUCUGUCUGGCAACUUCCCCAACGUCUAUCAUUCUUGAUCACUGAGUCUUGGACUCUGAUUUCAACUCAUUUUCAAACCCUGCCUCCCCACCACCACUCCAAAGCCUAUUAUAGUGGUAUUUCCAGGAGAUGGGAAUUAAAUGUCAAUGUGCAUCAGGAAUUUUGUUAUAUGCCUCGAUAGUAGAGAGCCAGUGAUUGUCUUUAUCUGUAUAAAGACAGUGUUUGAAAUACAGCCAAUGAAAUUAAAGGCUCCAGAUUAUUAAAGACGAUGCUAUUUUAAGAGAGCACGGUGUCAGGCUUCUAGACAAAAAUCACAUGACAAAUGCAAAUGCAUUUGAUAAACGGGAGACAGACAGACAGAUAAACUUCAAUCCUAAGGAAGUGGAAAUUAGUUGUCAGAAUUUAAAAAGAAGCUUAUUACAUUCUUCUGUCAGGCCAUGCUACCUGGAACCACAGGUGGUAAGAGGUUACCUUUUUAUAUGGCCUCAGGAAACUAAAGGCAGGGUGUGUUAGGCCAAGACUAUCAUUCUGCACCUCUCAGGGCCUUCACAUGAAGAAUGUUGUUGAGGGUUGGGGAUGUGGUCAGUAGGUAAAGUGUGUGUUCUACAAGCAUGAGGACCUGACUUUGGAUCUUCAGCAUCCACGUGAAAACCAGGGCUAGCAAUUGUAGCCAAUCAGUGAGCUCCAGCUUCAGUGCCCAGCCUAUCACAAACAGUUGCAUGCAUAGCAGUAGAAGCAAAUGGCUAAGGGUGACCUUUGGCCUCUACACCCCCCACCCCCCACCCCCACACACACAAACUCAUGCAUCACACCCUAGACACGGAAGCAAAGAACAAAUCUAACAUUCUUGUCUUCACCUUGUAGACUGCCCUAGAAUUUUCUAGAAUGCUAGCUACUAAAAGUUUACAUCUAGUGUCUUUAAGAACACUUAACAGGAAUGUCAAUAUUUUCCUUGUCACCUACUUCAAUUAUACAAUCAACAUAGUAAACAGAGAUUCAAGUAAACUUCCUGCUCUUCCAGAACUGCAUACAAAAACAGUAUAUUUUGAUCUGCAUUCAUUGUCAUCUAUUAAUGUAGCAUUCACAAACAAUCGCAUUUUGGCAGAUGAUAUUUGCAUUUUAAUGUCACUAUGAUCGGGCUAAUGAGGCUGUUGAUGGCGUCUUCCAUUUCCCCUUUUAUUAGCCUCUUAAAUUUGAACUGCAGCUCUUUUGUGUAUCAAUCUGUUGUCACAGAUGGGAGUGUUUAGAAUUCACUAUCUAUUCUAUGAAGCAGUUAGAACAGAAAAAAAAAAACAACAACAACACUUUGUACCCAUAAGCUUAUAAUUCCAGCCAUAACAUAAAAAAGUUUUAUAUAGCAUUAUUUGAUUGUCCCAUGCAGCAAUUGGUUCGAAUGGAAAGUAAUAUGUAUUAGCAUUUCAUUACAACACCAGAACUCUGUCUGGGAGUCAUUAUCUAUUUAACAACGAAAAUCAAUAAGAGAACCUUGAAAUAUUCUUCAAAGUUUCAAGCUAAAACUUAGUCAUACACAUAUUCAUUUGGCCUAGAUAUACAUAUUUAGAAGUAAUAUUUGUGACAUAAACAUUCUUAAAAAUAUAAGAGAUUUCUGGCUAUAGGCAUUGCCAGAUCUAGCUACUCAAGGUGAUCAAGUACCACACAGGACAAAAUAUUUACAGGUAGAAUUUUGUGCCAUCUGACUGUGUACUCGGAAGUCUGCCAUGCUCACAGUAGGCACAGAGAACUAACUAUCUUACCUUCAGCUCAGCUCCCUGCCUGGGGCACUUUCCCACUGUACUAUGAGCAAGUUAGCACAGUUUGAGAGCAACGGCCAGGAUGGAUAGAGGAAACAGAUACAACUGGGAGCUGCUGAGGUCAUUAUGUGUGCAGAGGGUAUCCAGAUCCAGGCUCACUACCACUUUUAGCACACUCCUGAAGGGUGUGUGCAUGUUUAAUCAGAGUGAUGGUUAGACUGGUCGUCAGUUUGACUAUAUCUGGAAUUAACUAAGACCCAUGCGGCUGGAUACACCUGUGAGGGAUUUUUUUUCCUUAAAUCAUUUGAAGUGGGAAGACCCAUUUUUAAUCCAGAUCUUUUGAGGAGGAAAGAUCUAUCUUUAAUCUGGAUCUUUUGAAGUGGGAAGAUAUGCCUGUAAUCUGAGCCCCCUUCCGAUGGCAGCCAUAUAAAGGACUUAGAAGAAGAGAGAGCUUGCUCUGCCUGCUUGCUCUGGCUUGGCAAGUCCAUUCUUUCACUGGCAUUUGAUCUGACUUCUUCAGGAUUCCAGUGAAUACUGAAGACCAACCAAGACAUCAAGGCAUGUAGACUGAACAACUGCUGGAUUCCUGCACUCCCCAUUGUUAGCCUAGCUGGACCACAGCCUAUAAGAUGCUAUAAUAAAUCCCAUAUCAAUUCUGUUCCUCUAGAGAACCCUGACUAGAACCAUCAGGGAAAAGAAAUGAUAACUAAAGAUCUAGAAGGGAAGAAGUGACUACUUUGAUGUUUUAAAUUCUACCUUUGUAUUUCUAAAAAUGGAAAAAUAAUAAAUUUAAUAAAAC